AUAAGAUCCGUAGUCGAAAGGGAAACAGCCCAGACCACCAGUUAAGGUCCCCAAAUAUAUGUUAAGUGGAAAAGGAUGUGGGGUUGCUUAGACAACCAGGAUGUUGGCUUAGAAGCAGCCACCAUUGAAAGAGUGCGUAAUAGCUCACUGGUCGAGUGACCCCGCGCCGAAAAUGUACCGGGGCUAAACAUAUUACCGAAACUGUGGAUGAACCUCUUUAGAGGUUCGUGGUAGGAGAGCGUUCUAAGGGCGGUGAAGUCAGACCGGAAGGACUGGUGGAGCGCUUAGAAGUGAGAAUGCCGGUAUGAGUAGCGAAAGAAGGGUGAGAAUCCCUUCCACCGAAUAUCUAAGGUUUCCUGAGGAAGGCUCGUCCGCUCAGGGUUAGUCGGGACCUAAGCCGAGGCCGAUAGGCGUAGGCGAUGGACAACAGGUAGAGAUUCCUGUACCAGUGCUAAUUGUUUAACCGAUGGGGUGACACAGAAGGAUAGGGAAUCGCACGAAUGGAAAUGUGCGUCCAAGCAGUGAGUGUGAGAAGUAGGCAAAUCCGCUUCUCGCGAAGCAUGAGCUGUGAUGGGGAAGGAAAUUAAGUACGGAAGUUCCUGAUUUCACGCUGUCAAGAAAAGCCUCUAGGAAGAGUAGUACUGCC
rnacentral:rRNA from 1 species